AACGCGAAGAACCUUACCUGGGUUUGACAUGGAUCGGGAGUGCUCAGAGAUGGGUGUGCCUCUUUUGGGGUCGGUUCACAGGUGGUGCAUGGCUGUCGUCAGCUCGUGUCGUGAGAUGUUGGGUUAAGUCCCGCAACGAGCGCAACCCUUGUUCACUGUUGCCAGCACGUUAUGGUGGGGACUCAGUGGAGACCGCCGGGGUCAACUCGGAGGAAGGUGGGGAUGACGUCAAGUCAUCAUGCCCCUUAUGUCCAGGGCUUCACGCAUGCUACAGUGGCUGGUACAGAGAGUGGCGAGCCUGUGAGGGUGAGCGAAUCUCGGAAAGCCGGUCUCAGUUCGGAUUGGGGUCUGCAACUCGACCUCAUGAAGUCGGAGUCGCUAGUAAUCGCAGAUCAGCAACGCUGCGGUGAAUACGUUCCCGGGUCUUGUACACACCG
rnacentral:rRNA from 1 species